UUCUCUAUUCGCUGCCAGAGCGGUAUCAAGAGCUAUCUUUAGCUUUGAGCUGCAGGAAGCCUUUUCAAUCGCGACUUAUUAAAAAAAAACAAAAGAACUGGGAUGUUAUAAAUCAGGAACAAAAACAAAGUUGCUGGAAAAGCUCAGCAGGUCUGGCAGCAUCUGUGAAGGUAAAAAGACAGAGUUAACGUUUCGGGUGCAGUGCCCCUUCCUCAGAGCGACUUAUUAAAACCCCAGGAUCGCUAAUGUAACAAUCUUUCUCAUCCAGUUCUCAGUCUCAUUUGUCUCAAAAUGCAACAUUGUGAUGACCAUCAUUAGCUUCUCACAAUGACAACAUGAAGCACUGCGCAUGCUCCAGAUCACAAUGGCAUCUGGGUGAUUGAUGUCAGCGAGGGGCCAAUAGGGCUGCCGUGCAUGACCGGUGGAUGUCGCUGCCAUUCUAACCAAUCAGAAUGAGGAGGGGGGCGGGAUCGGUGAAAACCACAUGAUCAUUCACGAGAGCAGCGCAGAGUUGCUCAGAUAAUUUGAACCGCAGAUGCUGGAGAAUCCGAGAUAACAUGGUGUAGAGCUGGAUGAACACAGCAGGUCAAGCAGCAUCAGAGGAGCAGGAAAGCUGACGUUUUGGGCCUAGAUCCUUCGCUGAGUCCAAGAUUUGUGCAAUUGAGCUGCACCCCCAUUUACUGCCUACUAACCUCAUCCCACCCCCCUGACCUAUCUGUCCUCCCUAAACUGACCUAUCACCUCACUACCUCCCCACCUAUACUCACCUUUACCUGCUCCAUGCUGGCAUCUUUGACUUGUCCGUCUCCUCUCCACAUAUCUUCUCUCUCCAUCUUCGAUCUGUCUCCCUAUUUAGUUCACAACCCAAUUAUCUCAGGAUUUUGAACGUUGAAGGAGAAAGCAGCACUCACACUUUGGACAAAUGCAAAUGGUUUGUGUGUAAAAGAGUCUGAAGAUUCAUCUGAAAUGUUCUAACACCAUCGCAGUGACACUUGGGAGACACUGUGGAAAUGGGCAGAUUGCAAGAAGGAAUUUCUUCAUCCAUCCCAGCUGGAAACUGACCACCAGAGUCACACUGGAGAGAAACCAUUCACCCGCUCUGAUUGUGGUAUGGGAUUCACUCAGUCAUCUAACCUGUUUAAACACCAGGGAGUUCACACUGGAGAGAAACCAUUCACUUGCUUGGAAUGUGCGAAAGCAUUCACUCAGACAACUCACCUACUGAUACACCAGCAAAUUCACACUGGAGAGAGACCAAUUGGCCUGUUCUGUGUGUGGGAAAGUUUUUCUGACUCGAAUUCCCCUCUGACACACCAGCGAUUUCACUCUGGGGAGAGACCAUUCGUGAGCUCUGAGUGUGGGAAAGCAUUCACUCAGUCAUCCAAACUGUCACAAAGAACCACAGUUGAAGGAUUUUGCUAUCACGCUCACGAUCAAAUGAACUAUAGUUUUUGGCUGUUUGUACUGAUGUUACUAAUCUCUGCUCAAUUAAAGGUGCUGAUGUUGUGAAUGAAA